UACGAGUGCCUCAAGCGUUAUCCGGAAUUAUUGGGCGUAAAGGGUGUGUAGGCGGCUGUGUUAGUCUUGCGUUAAAUUCUUCGGCUCAACCGGGGUUCUGCGCGGGAAACGGCACGGCUUGAAGAUGCGAGGGGUCUCUGGAACUCAUGGUGUAGCGGUGAAAUGCGUUGAUAUCGGAAGGAACGCCGGUGGCGAAAGCGACGUGCUGGACCCUUUCUGACGCUGAGGCGCGAAAGCCAGGGGAGCAAACGGG
rnacentral:rRNA from 1 species